GUGCUCGCUUCGGCAGUGCAUAUACAGUACUAAAAUUGGAACGAUACACAGAAGAUUAGCAUGGCCCCUGUGCAAAAGUCCAGCAAAAUGUAUGGGUUGUAUGCAACUUCU